rnacentral:snRNA from 1 species
AAAAAAAAAAAAAAAAAAUCUGUUCUUAUCAGUUUAAUAUCUGAUACGUCCCCUAUCUGGGACCAUAUUAUUAAAUGGAUUUUUGGAACAGGGAGAUGGAAGAAGAGCUUGCUCUGUCCACUCCACGCAUCGACCUGGUAUUGCAGUAACCUCCAGGACCGCGGUGCACCUCUC